rnacentral:tmRNA from 1 species
GGGGAUGACUUGGAUUCGACGCCGGUGACGAAACCUUGGGUGCAUGCCGUGAUGGCAGCCAAUCACGUUAAUCCAAAGCUGUAUUUUAUUAGUUGCCAACGACGACAACUACGGUGCCCAACUCGCUGCGUAAGCAGCUUGUGAAGCACUAACUAAGGGUUCGCCCUUAGCAGCCUUCAGUAAGGUUCCAGUACCGCGCUGCAGACUGUCAUACAGAACUGGAUCGCCGUGAAAUUUAUCUGAGGUGGAUCGGUUAAAACUUUUUCAGAAUCGUCUGCUACGUCCUGCCCGUUGGGCUGUAGUGGAUUAAAUCAAUAGACGGAACUAAGCAUGUAGAGCCUCAGGCAGAGUGCUGACGGACGCGGGUUCGACUCCCGCCAUCUCCACCA